UCGACGUCGCGGAAGCUCAGGUUGUCUCUGAUCCUGAGGAGGUACUGCUUCGGGGUUCGAUUAGCCUUUUAUCAGAGGGUUCAGACCCUCGGCGGACUGCUCAGUAACCGUGGAUAAUCUGCCCUAUGGUGGAGGAUAACCCCGGGAAACUGGGGAUAAUACUCCAUAAGUCAGGAGUUCCGCCCCCGCCUCCUAACUGAAAGUUGCGGCGCCAUAGGAUGAAUCUGCGGCCGAUUAGGUAGUUGUUGGGGCAACAAAAAAAAAAAACCGUAAUCGGGUACGGGUUGUGGUUUUUCCUAUUCCCGGAGAUGGAGUCGGGACCGCCCCCCCCCCCGGCCCUACGGGCGCACAUGUUGAAACUUCAUGAGGAACUGUUUUUUUAACCCCAAUGCCCGAAAACCCGGGCUGUCCCGGUGUUUAAAACCAUCGAAGAAAGGGCCGGGCAAGACCGGUGCCACCCGCCGCGGUAUAACCGGCGGUUCGAGGUGGGGACACUUUUAUUGGGGUUAAAGCGUUCGAACUUUGAUUUUUAAGUCUCUUGGGAAAUCUUACGGCUUUACUGGGAGGGGUUUAAAAAAAACUGGGAAAUCUUAGGGAC
rnacentral:rRNA from 1 species